AUCACACUCGGUUGCCACGGUAACAUCACCAGCUGGGACAUGCCGUGCUGUCAUCCAGCAACCAGCGAGGGGUCCCCGGGGAUAGAGGGGAUGCGCCACUGCCCCAGAGGAGCAUGAGGGUCUCACCCAGCCCAUGGGACCCAGGGAUGCCAUCCUUUUGCCCAGGAGCAGCAAUGGCACUGAAUCAUUUCACUGAAGGACUCUGCAGGCGAGAACACACAGCUGCAGUCACGUCCUGUAUUUACAGCUUUAGCAUGGAAAGCCUCAGCACUCCAGGCCUGAUGUGGCAUGAAGCUGAAUUAUUAACAAGUGCUCUCUGCUAGAGGAGAAGCAACUGGAGAGAAGGAGCCUUUCUCAUUAGUAUUCCCUGGGUGAUCAGGGAUCUGGCUAUGUGGCGUGAGGAUCUGCUGAUGCUCCAGAGGGCAUGUGUGACACAAGUGAGCCUUAUGCCAGGCACAAAACAGUGCUCAAGGGCUGUCUGCCUUCCCCCAAGGAAUGAGCAGCCCCACCAAAGCUGCCAUGACAAGCAGGUACAUCAGUUCCUUCAACAGGAAGCAGGGCUGCCUUUUCUCCUGCAAUUUCCCCUUCCACUGAAUUUAGACUGCUCAGUGGUGAUGCAGGUGAAGAUUUUGCAGGACUCUGUGCUUGAGGAGUUCAGUAUAGAGUUCUUUAUAAUAAGCUGCUCACUGAAAAGAUCCAGUAAACACUUUGAAGAGCAAAGCCUGGAGAGUUUUUAUGAAAAAGAAUUCAGUGUAGUGGCUGAUCUGCACCUUGAAAAGUAGGGAUAGUCAAAGCAACUCUUCUUUAGCCCUGGUUCACUCAGUAUCUUUGUCUGGUUAAAAAUAAACCCCUUGAAACAGGAUUUAAAUUCAGCCUGACUUGCCUCUGUGCUAAGGAUGGAGCUCCCAAUAGACCUCGCUGGGCUAUUGGAGACAACUUAAUAAACAAGAAA